AUUGAACGCUGGCGGCAGGCUUAACACAUGCAAGUCGAGCGGGGUGAGGUGCUUCGGUACUGAUCCUAGCGGCGGACGGGUGAGUAAUGCUUAGGAAUCUGCCUAUUAGUGGGGGACAACAUUCCGAAAGGAAUGCUAAUACCGCAUACGCCCUACGGGGGAAAGCAGGGGAUCUUCGGACCUUGCGCUAAUAGAUGAUCCUAAGCCAGAUUAGCUAGUUGGUGGGGUAAAGGCCUACCAAGGCGACGAUCUGUAGCGGGUCUGAGAGGAUGAUCCGCCACACUGGGACUGAGACACGGCCCAGACUCCUACGGGAGGCAGCAGUGGGGAAUAUUGGACAAUGGGGGGAACCCUGAUCCAGCCAUGCCGCGUGUGUGAAGAAGGCCUUUUGGUUGUAAAGCACUUUAAGCGAGGAGGAGGCUACCGAGACUAAUACUCUUGGAUAGUGGACGUUACUCGCAGAAUAAGCACCGGCUAACUCUGUGCCAGCAGCCGCAGUAACAC
rnacentral:rRNA from 1 species